rnacentral:rRNA from 1 species
AUUGAACGCUGGCGGCAGGCCUAACACAUGCAAGUCGAACGAGUGGCGGACGGGUGAGUAAUGUCUGGGAAACUGCCUGAUGGAGGGGGAUAACUACUGGAAACGGUAGCUAAUACCGCAUACCAUCAGAUGUGCCCAGAUGGGAUUCGCUUGGUGGUGGGGUAACGGCUCACCAAGGCGACGAUCCCUAGGUGGUCUGAGGUGAUGACCACCAACACUGGGAAUGAGACACGGUCCAUACUCUGACGGGAGGCAGCAGUGGGGAACAUUGCACAAUGGGCGCAAGCCUGAUGCAGCCAUGCCGCGUGUAUGAAGCAGGCCUUCGGGUUGUAAAGUACUUUCAGCGGGGAGGCGUUACCCGCAGAAGAAGCACCGGCUAACUCCGUGCCAGCCGCCGCGGUAAUAC